GAUGAACGCUAGCUACAGGCUUACACAUGCAAGUCGAGGGGCAGCAUGAACUUAGCUUGCUAAGUUUGAUGGCGACCGGCGCACGGGUGAGUAACACGUAUCCAACCUGCCGAUGACUCGGGGAUAGCCUUUCGAAAGAAAGAUUAAUACCCGAUGGCAUAAUUCUUCCGCAUGGUAGAACUAUUAAAGAAUUUCGGUCAUCGAUGGGGAUGCGUUCCAUUAGGUUGUUGGCGGGGUAACGGCCCACCAAGCCUUCGAUGGAUAGGGGUUCUGAGAGGAAGGUCCCCCACAUUGGAACUGAGACACGGUCCAAACUCCUACGGGAGGCAGCAGUGAGGAAUAUUGGUCAAUGGACGAGAGUCUGAACCAGCCAAGUAGCGUGAAGGAUGACUGCCCUAUGGGUUGUAAACUUCUUUUAUACGGGAAUAAAGUGAGGCACGUGUGCCUUUUUGUAUGUACCGUAUGAAUAAGGAUCGGCUAACUCCGUGCCAGCAGCCGCGGUAAUACGGAGGAUCCGAGCGUUAUCCGGAUUUAUUGGGUUUAAAGGGAGCGUAGGCGGACGCUUAAGUCAGUUGUGAAAGUUUGCGGCUCAACCGUAAAAUUGCAGUUGAUACUGGGUGUCUUGAGUACAGUAGAGGCAGGCGGAAUUCGUGGUGUAGCGGUGAAAUGCUUAGAUAUCACGAAGAACUCCGAUUGCGAAGGCAGCCUGCUGGACUGUAACUGGCGCUGAUGCUCGAAAGUGUGGGUAUCAA
rnacentral:rRNA from 1 species